AGCGAACGCUGGCGGCAGGCCUAACACAUGCAAGUCGAGCGCCGUAGCAAUACGGAGCGGCAGACGGGAGAGUAACACGUGGGAACGUACCCUUCAGUACGGAACAACCAAGGGAAACUUUGGCUAAUACCGUAUACGUCCGUAAGGAGAAAGAUUUAUCGCUGAAGGAUCGGCCCGCGUCUGAUUAGCUAGUUGGUGAGGUAACGGCUCACCAAGGCGACGAUCAGUAGCUGGUCUGAGAGGAUGAUCAGCCUCACUGGGACUGAGACCCGGCCCAGACUCCUACGGGAGGCAGCAGUGGGGAAUAUUGGACAAUGGGCGCAAGCCUGAUCCAGCCAUGCCGCGUGGGUGAUGAAGGCCCUAGGGUUGUAAAGCCCUUUCGGCGGGGAAGAUAAUGACGGUACCCGCAGAAGAAGCCCCGGCUAACUUCGUGCCAGCAGCCGCCGUAAAAC
rnacentral:rRNA from 1 species